UUCCUUAGGAAGGAGUGACAGCAUUUGUUUUUACCGAUACCAAGAUACCCAGACUGUUCACUUUUCUUCAAUUCUGACUGAGGGGGUGUGAAGAGAAGACUUUUUUGAGAAGGAGGAGCUGCAGGGAAAGCUCCCUUGCCCUUUAGGGAGAGGAACAGGAAGAGACACUGAGUGUUGAAGGGUCUGGCUGUGAUGUCCGGAACUGCUGCAGCCAGCUCUGAGCCUGAGGAUAGAGCCAGCACACAGUGAGGCUGAGCAGACAGGAAGACCUAGGUCCUCAGUGCCAUCACUGAGCCACCAAAUCAGUUGUCCCUGAAGUCCACUGACCUCAGAACUUCCUGUUACCUGAGAUAAUAAGGUCCUUGUUUAAACCAGUUUGAAAUGGUGUUCCUGUUUCUUAAGGAUGAAUGUAUUUUAACUGAUGCAUAAGAAUAAGUCUUAUUUUUAGUAUGGUGAAGUUUAUUUACAACAUCACGGGAGUGAAAUUAUUGAUGUCUUCUACCUAGAUCAAAGGUAUCUUUUAAAGUAAGUAUUUUAUUGAAACACAGCAUACAUUUAAAAAUGUGUGAAAAUCCUAGUGUACAAUUUGACGAACUAUGAUAAUGGGAACACACCCAGGCAACCAUCUGGGUUGGACCUAGAAGAAUGGGAAAAAUUUGGAUAAGCAGAAGUUAAAGGGCCAGCCAGACACAUUAAAUGAAAGGAACAACGUGAGUCAAAGUCCCAAGGUAGGACCUUAUGAGUACACUGGUGAGGCUAUAAGGAUACAGGUUUGACAAACAUGGAUCAUUGGGAUAAGGACAGAAUGUCCAUUCAGACUCAUUCAUUAUGUGAAUUUUAAUAGACUUUUCUUGCUUAUGGACCCAGCAUCAGGCGUGCGAUGUACCUGUUAGGAAUAUAAAGAAGAGGAGCACAAGAAGUGCCAAAUCUAAGGUGAACUGCAACUUAGGAAAACACAGAUCCUGCAGAAAGACAUCAGAUAAGAUGUGGCUGCACGGGAGCUUUGUAAUGCAGGGUGCAGCAGCAGUGACUGGACACCAGUGAUGUGCAUUUUUAUUGAAUAAAGCACAAGGCAGAGCAGCA
rnacentral:lncRNA from 1 species